UACGUAGGGUGCAAGCGUUGUCCGGAAUUAUUGGGCGUAAAGAGCUCGUAGGCGGUCUGUCGCGUCGGAUGUGAAAAUCCAGGGCUCAACCCUGGACCUGCAUUCGAUACGGGCAGACUAGAGUUCGGUAGGGGAGACUGGAAUUCCUGGUGUAGCGGUGAAAUGCGCAGAUAUCAGGAGGAACACCGGUGGCGAAGGCGGCAUCCUGGACCGAUAUUGACGCUGAUGCGCGAAAGCCAGGGGAGCAAACGGG
rnacentral:rRNA from 1 species